rnacentral:rRNA from 1 species
UACAGAGGGUGCAAGCGUUGUUCGGAAUUAUUGGGCGUAAAGGGCGCGUAGGCGGUGCCACAAGUCACCUGUGAAAUCUCCGGGCUUAACUCGGAGCCUGCAGGCGAAACUGUGGUGCUGGAGUGUGGGAGAGGUGCGUGGAAUUCCCGGUGUAGCGGUGAAAUGCGUAGAUAUCAGGAGGAACACCGAUGGCGAAGGCAGGUCUCUGGGCCACUACUGACGCUGAGAAGCGAAAGCGUGGGGAGCGAACAGG